CAGUAGCCGCGGUAAAACGGAGGGUGCAAGCGCUAAUCAGAAUUACUGGGCGUAAAGCGCACGCAGGCGGUUUGUUAAGUCAGAUGUGAAAUCCCCGAGCUUAACUUGGGAACUGCAUUUGAAACUGGCAAGCUAGAGUCUUGUAGAGGGGGGUAGAAUUCCAGGUGUAGCGGUGAAGUGCGUAGAGAUCGGGAGGAACAUCAGUGGCGAAGGCGGCCAUCUGGGACAACACUGACGCUGAAGCACGAAAGCGUGGGGAGCAAACAGGAUUAGAUACCCGUGUAGUCCCUGUCUCUUAUAC
rnacentral:rRNA from 1 species